GGGGUUGUAGCUCAGAGGCAGAGCAGAUGCUUUGCAUGCAGAAGGUCCCUGGUUCAAACCCCAGUAGCAUUUCCA